rnacentral:rRNA from 1 species
AUUGAACGCUGGCGGCAUGCCUUACACAUGCAAGUCGAACGGUAACAGGUUAAGCUGACGAGUGGCGAACGGGUGAGUAAUAUAUCGGAACGUGCCCAGUCGUGGGGGAUAACGUAGCGAAAGCUACGCUAAUACCGCAUACGAUCUACGGAUGAAAGCGGGGGAUCGCAAGACUUCGCGCGAUUGGAGCGGCCGAUAUCAGAUUAGGUUGUUGGUGAGGUAAAAGCUCACCAAGCCUGCGAUCUGUAGCUGGUCUGAGAGGACAACCAGCCACACUGGAACUGAGACACGGUCCAGGCUCCUACGGGAGGCAGCAGUGGGGAAUUUUGGACAAUGGACGCAAGUCUGAUCCAGCAAUGCCGCGUGCAGGACGAAGGCCUUCGGGUUGUAAACUGCUUUUGUACGGAACGAAACGGUGAGCUCUAAUACAGUUUGCUAAUGACGGUACCGUAAGAAUAAGCACCGGCUAACUACGUGCCAGCCGCCGCCGUAA